rnacentral:tRNA from 1 species
GCGGGAAUAGCUCAGUGGUAGAGCACCUCCUUGCCAAGGAGGGGGUCGUGGGUUCAAGUCCCAUUUCCCGCUCAA